rnacentral:rRNA from 1 species
UGAGCUUGAUCCUGGCUCAGAUUGAACGCUGGCGGCAGGCCUAACACAUGCAAGUCGAGCGGUAACAUUUCUAGCUUGCUAGAAGAUGACGAGCGGCGGACGGGUGAGUACAACUUGGGAAUCUGCCUGAUGGAGGGGGACAACCACUGGAAACGGUGGCUAAUACCGCAUAAUCUUUUCGGAGCAAAGUGUGGGACCUUCGGGCCACACGCCAUCAGAUGAGCCCAAGCAAGAUUAGGUAGUUGGUGGGGUAAAGGCCUACCAAGCCGACGAUCUUUAGCUGGUCUGAGAGGAUGAUCAGCCACACUGGGACUGAGACACGGCCCAGACUCCUACGGGAGGCAGCAGUGGGGAAUAUUGGACAAUGGGGGCAACCCUGAUCCAGCCAUGCCGCGUGUGUGAAGAAGGCCUUCGGGUUGUAAAGCACUUUCAGUGGUGAGGAAGGCGGUAGAUGUAUGUUAUACUAGCAGAGUCGAUGACUAUGUAGUCACGUGUAGUCACAUCGACGAAGAAGUCAUGCUCUGUGCGUA